rnacentral:rRNA from 1 species
AGAGUUUGAUCCUGGCUCAGGACGAACGCUGGCGGCGUGCUUAACACAUGCAAGUCGAACGAAGCUUAAUGACGGAAGUUUUCGGACAGAAGACAUUAAGACUUAGUGGCGGACGGGUGAGUAACGCGUGAGCAACCUGCCUACAAGAGGGGGACAACAGUUGGAAACGACUGCUAAUACCGCAUAAGCCCACGUAUUCGCAUGGAUAUGAGGGAAAAGAUUUAUCGCUUGUAGAUGGGCUCGCGUCCUAUUAGCUAGUUGGUGAGGUAACGGCUCACCAAGGCGACGAUAGGUAGCCGACCUGAGAGGGUGAUCGGCCACACUGGAACUGAGACACGGUCCAGACUCCUACGGGAGGCAGCAGUGGGGAAUAUUGGGCAAUGGGGGGAACCCUGACCCAGCAACGCCGCGUGAGGGAAGAAGGUUUUCGGAUUGUAAACCUCUGUCCUCCGGGACGAAGAAGUGACGGUACCGGGGGAGGAAGCUCCGGCUAACUACGUGCCAGCAGCCGCGGUAAUACGUAGGGAGCGAGCGUUGUCCGGAAUUACUGGGCGUAAAGGGUGCGUAGGCGGCUGUGUAAGUCAGAUGUGAAAUACCGGGGCUUAACCUCGGGGCUGCAUCUGAUACUGCAUAGCUUGAGUGCAGGAGAGGAAAGCGGAAUUCCUAGUGUAGCGGUGAAAUGCGUAGAUAUUAGGAGGAACACCAGUGGCGAAGGCGGCUUUCUGGACUGUAACAAAGGAAUUGACGGGGGCCCGCACAAGCAGCGGAGCAUGUGGUUUAAUUCGAAGCAACGCGAAGAACCUUACCAAGGCUUGACAUCCUCUGACGAACAUAGAGAUAUGUUUUUCCUACGGGACAGAGAGACAGGUGGUGCAUGGUUGUCGUCAGCUCGUGUCGUGAGAUGUUGGGUUAAGUCCCGCAACGAGCGCAACCCUUGUCGUUAGUUGCCAGCGGGUAAAGCCGGGAACUCUAAUGAGACUGCCGGGGACAACUCGGAGGAAGGUGGGGACGACGUCAAAUCAUCAUGCCCCUUAUGUCUUGGGCUACACACGUGCUACAAUGGCCGGUACAAAGGGCAGCGACACCGUAAGGUGAAGCGAAUCUCAAAAAGCCGGUCCCAGUUCGGAUUGUGGGCUGCAACCCGCCCACAUGAAGUCGGAGUUGCUAGUAAUCGCGAAUCAGCAUGUCGCGGUGAAUGCGUUCCCGGGCCUUGUACACACCGCCCGUCACACCAUGGAAGUUGGGGGCGCCCGAAGCCAGUGGCCUAACCGCAAGGAGGGAGCUGUCGAAGGUGAAACCAAUGACUGGGGUGAAGUCGUAACAAGGUAGCCGUAUCGGAAGGUGCGGCUG